GGGGGUGGCCCUUGUGCGUCUCUGCCUUGAAAUACAUCCUCUGUUAACGGAAAUAAGGAGUGAAACCACCAAAAAGAGAGGUCGGUUCCAAAAGUUCCUUGCGGCAUAAUGCAUUCAAGUUACACUUUCCAACCCCAAGAAUGUUCAAAAACGGCAUGUGGAGACUCGCAGGUGGGCUCAUGAAGAGAGACAAGGCACAUGACUCUUCCAUGAGGACAACUGACAACACUGGCAGAGUGAAGGUGACUCACAGUUGUGGCUACUUUCUAUAACUGUUACAAGGUGCUUACACCGUGGGAAGGCGAUUCUAUUGAAAGUAAGGCUAUGAAUCAUUUAUUGUUAAAUAAAUGUAUCUGUACUGGA